rnacentral:rRNA from 1 species
UACAGAGGGGGCAAGCGUUGUUCGGAAUUACUGGGCGUAAAGGGCGCGUAGGCGGCCUGCUAAGUCGAACGUGAAAUCCCUGGGCUCAACCCAGGAACUGCGUCCGAUACUGGUUGGCUUGAAUUCGGGAGAGGGAUGUGGAAUUCCAGGUGUAGCGGUGAAAUGCGUAGAUAUCUGGAGGAACACCGGUGGCGAAGGCGGCAUCCUGGACCGGUAUUGACGCUGAGGCGCGAAAGCGUGGGGAUCAAACAGG